UUCAAAUGAGAGUUUGAUCCCGGCUCAGAAUCAACGCUGGCGGCGCGCCUAACACAUGCAAGUCGAACGAGAAAGCCCGCAAGGGUGAGUACAGUGGCGUACGGGUGAGUAACACGUGGAUCAUCUACCUUUUAGUGGGGAAUACCGUUGGGAAACCGACGACAAUACCGCAUAAUCCCGAGAGGGGAAAGCAGCAAUGCGCUGAAAGAGGAGUCCGCGGCUGAUUAGCUAGUUGGCAGGGUAAUGGCCUACCAAGGCAACGAU
rnacentral:rRNA from 1 species